UGGUCUCGCUGCACUCGUUUGGUCUGGUUCAUGUACAUUUCACCCAAAGCAUCCCUGGUUCCUCUUGCCAGUGUAUCAGUCCCUUCGGGUGUCCUUGACUGAGUAGAGUGAAAGUCCUCGGAGCCUGGUCUUUUGAAGGCUGCCACCACUUGUGAGCCUCUGUGCUAAGCCCCCAGCUAGAGAACAGUGCCUGCUGUGUCUUCUGUUCUAAAGGUGAGAAGUGGGCGUUUGACCUUUUAAGUUCCACUUGGUGGAAACUACACUUUCUAGCUAAGAAAGAGUUCUCUUUCCCGACCUCUCAUUUUAGGUCUUCAUGGAGUCUGCAUGAACUCUGUGCUCACUAGUGUGCUGAACCUUGGCCUCCGUCUCACACACCCAUGAUCUGUUAUCCACAGUGCAGCACUGAAAGCCUCCACUUGUGAAAUGGCUGUGACACGCCACCCUCUGAAGUGAGCCGUGUGGGUUGCUGUUCCUUUUGCUGAUACUGAUUUGAGCACUUAGUGCAUGCCAGAGGCUGGAGGGCUUUCACGUCCUACAACUCCCCCAGGUCCUGUCUAGACUUCCAGGUUACUGGGUAGGAGCCACCAAGAACUGGUUCACCAAGUCGCCUAACUUGUCAGAGGCAAGGCAGUGAGUGAAAAUUGCUGACCCCAUCCCCGUCCAGUGCUUUUCUUAGUGACCCUACAUGUUAGGCAGAGUCCCUGUGAACAGUCGUGUUAAUUUACUGCACACAGCAGCCUAGCUGUGGCCUGUGCUCCACUGCUUGUGUCUGUGAGAGCACUGAACAGGCCAGGUUGAGUACCAAGGCCGAGUACAGAACACUGAGGAGCAUGUAUGUGUCAAGCCUCCCAUGGCACUGUCACCCCGUUAGCCACUGGGUGGCAUGUCUUAGGGCCACCCUGUGGUCAGUAGUGUUCUUGGUUAAUGUGAUGUCUCCUUGCUGCAAACAAGGUCAGGCAGCCUGACACAGGUGUCCUCACCAAGCAUGCAGUGACAGGAAGGCAGCCACUUGACAUCUUUGUUGUUGUUUUUUUUUUUUGUUUUGUUUUUUGUUUUGUUUGUUUUUUGUAGUUUUCCAUCCCUGCAAUGGCCAUCAGUCCAGAGUAGGCACAUGGAUGAGUGAACACUUAGAGAUACUAUUUGGAUUCUUGACACUCAGCCUCAGGAUUGACCAGGAAGUCUUCCAUUUUGCUCGCUUGACAAGCGUGCUUCCUAGUGGAACUGUCACAGGACAGUGCUGUGUCCGUCAGAAUCGACGCUGGGGUCUUACAGCUACCUAACCUUUACAAAGCUGCACAGAGGGCUGGAAGCUGUCCUCGUCGUCUUCACUCAGCCCUCCUCGAAAGCCCGACUUGGCCUGACAUGCCCGUCUGCACGUAGGGCCCUUCCCAUGCUCAUGUUUACACAGGCCCCAGCCCCUCAGCUGCUUUAGUGUCUCAGGUCAGAACCAUCUCAGGGACACCUGCAAAGCCGAGGCCCAAGUUAGCAGUCGGCCCAGGGGCCUCCGUUAGCACGGCUGCUCUGGUGCUGCCCUCUGCGUCACGGAAUAAGCUGGUGACGGGACAGCCUUCAGCCAACAUUGUGAUUGGAGAAGCUGUUCCUUACUUCUGUGUGUGGCUGCAUGCCGCGGUGUGCAUGUGGGAGUCAGAGGCCCACCUAUGAAGUGGUCUGUUCUCCACUUCAGACACGUGGGUCCCAUGCUUGGUGGAAGGCACCUUGGUCCAUGGGGUUUUCUUGCCAGUGCCACGCUUUGUCGUUGUGAGAUGACUGGUUUGUGGAGGCCUUCCCCAGGAGGGUGAGCUUCACACCUCCCUUAGUGAGGUCUGAAACAGUGUAUGGUGCCCUGUCCAUGGGCCAUCUGUGGGCCAGCACCGAAAACAAACCUUUUUCUCCUUGACCUGUAUUUCCCCUGCUGACACCCAUGUCCUUCCUUCAGACUAAAAGUGCCUCUUUCUCCUAACUCCUUGAUUAGACUCAGUCUGUUAGUGCUUCUAGUAUCUUGUUCCCCAGGUACUGGGAUGGUUCUCAUUAACACAGCAGAGUCAGGUGGAUGUAGCUAUUACAUGUUUGCCCAGGGUGCAUGAAAUCCUGGGUUCCAUUCUGUGCAUGGAAUACAUACCUGUAAUCCCAGCACUCAGGUGAAGGCAAGACGAUGUUCCAGGCCAUACUUGGCUAAGAGCCAAGAGCUAAAGGCUCUUGGAUACACGAGAUCCUAUCUUUAAAAAUGAAAUUAGCGUGUUUACUUUAGGCAGCAUUCAUUUGCAGUGUGCUCCAUCAGCUCUGACUGCUACUGUCUGGUUUGCUCAGUUUACUGCUGCGAAUUGUUCCGGCCCCUCCCAUCCCAUUGUCUUUUUGUGCCCAAUCUAUUCUUUAUUAGCAAGUGACAGAAUUCAAGUCUACAAACUGUACUUUCAGUUAGAAGCAACAUCUUGGGGGAAAACACCCUGGAGGUGACAAUAAAUGAGAUUUUAUGAUA
rnacentral:lncRNA from 1 species